AUGGCUCUAGCUUUAACUGUCGGGGUUUUCGGUGCUCUCGUUCUAUUUCACGCCGCUUAUUCCACCAUCCAGUAUAAGAACUUGUUGAAGAUCACACAAGAAGAGUUUUCAGCACCUCCUUUCCAUGGAAGUUUUUGUCCAUACACCCACACUCUGAUGAAACAGGAUUGUUUCUUUACCUGCAAACCUAGACUUCAUGAUCUUCAAUCACCGAGGCAAAGUUUUUCCCCUGGAAACAGAUUUGAAGCUGAAACACUAAGGACUCUAGUAUGA